GACAUGGUAGCACAAGUGGUAGUGCGUCCGUUGAAAGUAAAGCUGGUAAUAAAAUAUAUCUGCGGAUGAUCCCGGUUCGAGUCUGGGUCAGGUCA